rnacentral:lncRNA from 1 species
ACUAUUUGUAAGGUAUUUUUUUUAAAGAAUAUUUUUGUUAAUGUUUUUAAUUUUAAUGAUAUUAAAACAUUUAAAAUACAUUUAUAGAUAAAUGAAUAAAGUAUAAAACAAUAAUUAAGAAUUGAAACAUGUUAAACUAUAUAUGAAAGUAGAAUGAGAGCGAGAAUAAGUGGUAGGAAAUAGGAAUAAUUAAUGAGAAUCUAUACAUUUAUAACGACCUAUUUUUUGCAGUAACAAUUUUGGACGACACUGCUACUGCUAUAUAACGGCCGCUAUUUCGCUACCCAACAAUUAUUUAAAUCCCUGAAUUUAACAAUUAUUGUCUAGUGAGGAUUAAAAUUUUAAAAAUUGAAAAGUACAAGGGUUAAAAAUGAACAAAGAUUAAAUCCACAACUUUCAAAAAGUACAGAGAGUAAUGACAAAAUUUACCAAUUUGUUAAUACUAUACUUAAGCUUGACCUGACCCGUUUCGAUCCAUAAACACUUUUAAUCCUAACCCAACUUUUUUUUAAGGAUUUAAUCCAUUUAAUUUUAAACUUAAGAUAAAAAUUUCCUAACUCUAUCCACAAAUAUUUUAAUAAAACUAUACUACUAUAUAUAAAAAGUCCAUCCUUCUUUGACACCCUGUCCUUUACUUUUCUUUUACAUUACUAAUAAUAAUGGUUAAAUUUCUAUUGAGGCCCCUCUACUUUUUAAUUAUACAAAAAUGGUCAAAUUUUUAUUUCAAUCCUUAUAACAUGCUUAAAUUUAAUAUUUGAUUUUUAUACUUUAAUUUCAUACAUAGUUUGCUACCUCAAAGUUUAUAAUGUUAUUAGUUAGACUAAAUAUUUUAUUUUAAAUUAAAAUAUUAAAGUAAAUUUAAAGAAUUGUUAACGUCAUUUUUUUUUGUUAUAUUUAGUCCUAUUACAAUGCCAUUUUUCUGACAUGAUCAUGGAAUGAAUACUUUUUUAAAAUUUAGAAUGUCACACCAAUAAGAUUUGAAAAAAUAAAAGGACUAAAUUCUUAAAAAUAAAAAUAUAAAAAUUAGAUUCUAAAAAUAUAGAGAGUAGAUUAUAACCUUUAACUUUUAACUAUUUAAUCUAAAAAUAAUUAAGCAUGAAAUGAACCAUACGAAUUAAAAAUAAAAGGUAAGAUUUGGUGAAACAAUCCCACGAGAUAAAGACAGAAAUAAUUGUCUUUUCCUAAGUCAUUACACCACAUAUAAUUUAGAGAUGCAAACAAGAACCAGAAGAAUUAAAAGGUUGUGUUUGGUAGUAAUUAUUUAGUAAACAAAAUAUUAGAAAUUUAACUUUAAGUUAUGGUUUAUUAGUGGAAUGUUCAUUUUCUUUAAAAAUAGUUUGAGCUUCAAUUACGAUAGUAGAAAAAACAUUAAAAAUUGGGGAAAGAAUAAUUAAUUAUUUUCUUUCAGGACUUAUAUUUUUUUUUUUUCAAAUCUUGUUAUAUAAAUAUUAUUCAAUGAAAUAUUGCUUACUCUCACAAAACAAUUCUUUGUUUAUCUUUGAGAUUAUAAUUAGUCUUGAUUUAUGCUUUGUAUUUAUAUUGGAUAAUUUUACUAUUUAAAAAUAUUUGAAUAAUUUAAAAAUAUAGUUAUUAAUUGAAAUGUAGAUAUUAGAUCAGUUAAAGACUUUAGGUUAUAAUGAUGUACGACGGUCCGUUUCAUAAAAUAUUAAUUUUAACCGAAAUGGAUAUGCAGGGUUUAUCCUCCCACAAAGAAAAGCAUGUUCAGGGGUUAUCAUUUGAAACGAGAUGGGCCAAACUUUGGUAGCUUGCAGUAGACUUACCAGUUGGGUUCCAUCGGCGUUUGCCGCCGAAGCUCUAGCUGUAAUUCAUGGCCUUCGCUUUGCACUCGAUCUUGACUUCCAAUCUGUGAUUUUAGAAGGGGGCUCAAGGUCGGUCAUCCAAAAAAUAGUGGAUAAUGGGAAGGAUUUAUCGGAAAUAAGCGCGCUUACCUGGGAAGCAAAGGAACUCGCGAAAUCUUUUCGGUUUUGCAGGUUCCAUUUUGUAGAUCGAUCCGGAAACAAGGCAGCGCAUGCAAUGACGCGGGACGGGCUGAGGAGAGACGAGGAUAGAUUCUGGGUGGAGGAGGUUCCCGAUUUGGCUACUGUGACUGUCGAUGAUGAUUACAGAUCUGUAGACCCUCCGUAGGUGUGCUAUUCAGGGUUGGUUUUGAGGGGAUUCAUUUUCACUUUUGGCCCUCGUAUGUCUUUGUUGCUCCCUUGGGUCUUCUUUGUUUGGUUAAAUGGUAGUGAAGGGAGCAUCGAUGGUCGGAAUUUCUGUAAAUUUUGUUUAGUCUUGUUUGGUGUGGGUUCUGUUUCUUUUUUGUUUGUGUGUUGGUUUUGUUUUGGUCAGGUUGUUUUGGGUGAGUCUGUUUAUCUGACGUCUUAAUUGUUUUUUGGGUUUUGUUUUGACGGUUUAAUUUUCCAAUAAGAGUGACCGGUAUUUAUUCAAAAAAAUGUAUAAAGAUAAUUAAUUUUAAAUUAUAUAAACGAAUCGACCUCCUAUGUUUUAUACAAUUAUAUUAUUAUAUAAUCCUGAUAUGUUUCAAAAGAAUCCUAUGAUAAAUAUUUAAAAAAUAAUUGUUA